CCUCAAACUGACUGGCCACUAGCAUCUAAAUGCUAGCUGCAUUUGCUGGAGUCUUGUAUAAGUUCUUUGGAGCCCCUAUGGAGAGACCUAUCCAUGGCACAAUUCCCUGAUGUGAGAACUCUCAGAUCCCACCUGCAGAGUUACAUUCCACAGUCUCAUGCUGCUGAGGCUUCCUCAUCCUGAGGCAGCGCUCUUGAGAAAUGUUCUAGGGAGUUGUCUCAAGCUAACUUCUAUACUGAUUCACAGGAAAUUCAUGCAUCCACAACUGUCCAAAGAGUGCCAGUUCUCUUUACUGACCUCUCUCUCUCUGCCUUUCCUCUCUCGCUUCUCAGAAGCGUACAGGUAGCAGACCAGCAAGUUAACUACAUAAUCACAUCUCUCAGUAGAACGUGACUACCAUUCCUGCAAGAACCUUAAACAAACACUUAUCACCAUCAAGAUGCCUAUUCUGGCAGAAGCCCAUUCCUCCAUCUGCAUGGAUGAUCAGAACAGAAAACAAUCCGGGAAUAUGUUGCUGUUUAGAAUUGGAGCAUCAAAAGCCAAUGCAGAAGAUACAGAAGGAGCAGCCAGGAAGAAAAUCAGGACAGUGGUGUUUCACAGAAACCUAGAGAGAAGAGAAUUUCACAGAAAAAUUAGCAGAGCAUGCCAACUACUGAUACUGAUUAGGGAAAUUUAGAAAUGUCAAAAAUCUUCUAACUCAGCCAUGAAGAGAUCACUGCUGAUUUUCUGUCAGGGAAAAACCCCAAAUAUUUUUAUAUUAAACACUUCAUGAGUCAAAGAGAAAUCACAAAUCAACUCAGAAGAUUUUAAAAACCCAAUAAAAGUGAACAUAAUACAUAAAAAAUUAUGGGAUGCAGGUCAAGCAGUGUUUAGAGAAAAUUUUGUAUCUGUAAAUGCUUGUAAUAUAAAAAACAAAGAAUCACCAAGUGCAGUGGCUCAUGCCUGUCAUCCCAACACUCUGGAGGCCAAGGAGGGAGGAUCGUUUGAGGCCAGGAGUUCGAGACUAGCCUGAGGAACAUAACAAGGCCUCACUGCAACAACAAAAC
rnacentral:lncRNA from 1 species